AUACGUAGGGUCCGAGCGUUAUCCGGAAUUACUGGGUGUAAAGGGUCCGCAGGCGGGUUUGUGCGUCGAGGGUUAAAGACCACGGCUCAAUCGUGGGAAUGCCCUCGAUACGGCAGAUCUUGAGUGUGAGAGAGGAAGGUAGAAUUCCUGGUGUAGCGGUGAAAUGCGUAGAUAUCAGGAGGAAUACCAGUAGCGAAGGCGGCCUUCUGGCUCACUACUGACGCUCAGGGACGAAAGCGUGGGGAGCGAACAGGAUUAGAAACCCCGGUAGUCC
rnacentral:rRNA from 1 species